UGGACAAUUUGAUUUCCUCCUUUUCAAUUUGGAUGUCCUUUGUUCCUUUUUCUUGCCUUAUUGCUUUGUCUAGAACUUCCAGUACUUUGUUAAAUAAGAGUGGUAGAAGUGGGCAUCCUUGUUCCAGUUCUUAGAGGAAGGCUUUCAACUUCUUCCCAUUUGGAUUUUUAUACUGCAUUGACAGGGGGAAACUGGAACUGUGGAAAGUAAACCUGUAGAUGGAGGAAGUCUCGCUCUGUUGCCCAGGAUGGAGUGCAAUGGCAUGAUCUUGGCUCACUGCAACCUGCACCUCCCAGGUUCAAGUGAUUCUCCUGUGUCAGCCUCCCAAGUAGCUGGGAUUACAGGAGACUGACUUCAGUGGAUUGAUUCACCCAGUCUAUCCUCCCCUUUUGCUGCCAGUUGAGUUUGGCCCAUGGAGACAGGACAAGAAAUGGAAGAUUUUGAGCAGAGAGAUGCUGGGGUAUUAACUUCCCUGUCUCUUCCUUGCAUGGCCAUAGUUCUGUC
rnacentral:lncRNA from 13 species